rnacentral:rRNA from 1 species
UACGUAGGGGGCAAGCGUUGUCCGGAGUUACUGGGCGUAAAGCGCACGCAGGCGGUCUUUUAAGUUUGGAGUGACAGUUGGUGGCUUAACUGCCAAAGUGCUUCGAAAACUGACAGACUUGAGGGCCAGAGAGGGACACGGAAUUCCGGGUGGAGUGGUGAAAUGCGUAGAGAUCCGGAGGAACACCGAAGGCGAAGGCAGUGUCCUGGCUGGUGACUGACGCUGAGGUGCGAAAGCUAGGGGAGCGAACGGG